rnacentral:tRNA from 1 species
GAACACAUGGCUCGGUGGUCGUGGGCAUUAGGCCAGUAACUGAAAGGUCGCUGAUUCAAACCCGGCUGUGGUCA